UUCUGUUCAAAUAUAGACUGAAGACACCCAAGUUUAUAAAACACCCUAGCCCACACACACAUGCAAAAUGAUAAAGGGAAUAAAGAUCAGGUGAGCAGUAUGUAGGUGGGCCAAGACUGGGAAGGAUGGAGGAAUAGAAGGAGCUUUGGUUCCAUUAAUGACUAACAAAGGAGCAGGGUAUUAUUCACAGCUGGUUUAAACUAGCACCAGAUUACUACUUCUAAAGCAAAGGGGAAGCAGUAUGGGAACUGAACACAAUGCUUCUGGCUCCUUUCUUGUGAAGCUGCAGGUUAUACAUCAUCCCUUGCUUUUUGCCUGUGCAUUAUUUAGCCCUAGGUAUGCUGAAAAUAAUGGGGUUUCUACUGUCAGCAAAACAGACCCUAAAUUUAGGAGCCCAGAUGCUUUCCACCUAUUGGAAAUUAAUGAAGUGACAUUCGUAGUCUCGUCUGUGAAAGGUGUUUUGUAAACUCCCUUUGAUGAUUAGAACUGAGAGAUCCGAGAGGGAGUGAUUGUUUUGCGAGAAGUGGGCACUCACAGUACAUACCUAUGGACAUCCCGAGGGGCACUCAGGAACCAGCAGCGGGAAGGAGAGGAGUCAGCACACGUGUGUCCCGCACGCACGUGUGCCCCUUUUACCAACUGACUGACCGGAGGCGGUGGCAGCAGCAGCAGCAGAGGAAUCGGCAGCGGGGGCAGCAGCAGCUGAUCCCCCGAAAGUAAGUGGGGCGGAGGGACCCGGCACAGCUGAGCCGGAUCCGGAGGGGAAGCCCCCCGGUUCCCAUAUAGCUGAGACAGUAGGGAGCCGCGCUCCCGAGCCGCGCGGCGUGAACAGAGCGCGCAAACAGGGAGGGCUAGGAAGAGGACUGUCCACCCAGGCCAGGGGGCACCCCCGGGGCUAACCCUUGGGGGGAGCAGGCUCCUGCGGCAGCGGAUCCCCCCAGCGGGGGAGCGUAGGGACGGAACUGCCGGCAGGCACUUCUGGGUAGACCGGGGCGCCUGAUUGGCCAUUGGAGCGGGGCAGGUAAUUCAAACCGCGGGCUUUAAAGCUGCGGGGUGACGUAGUUCCCAGCACUCGGGAACCAGCAGCAGGAAGCAGAGGAGUCAGCACACGUGUGUCCCGCACGCACGUGUGCCCCUUUUACCAACUGACUGACCGGAGGCGGCGGUGGCAGCAGCAGCAGCAGAGGAAUCAACAGCGGGGGCAGCAGCAGCUGAUCCCCCGAAGGUAAGUGGGGCGGAGGGACCCAGCACAGCUGAGCCGGAUCCGGAGGGGAAGCCCCCCGGGUCCCAUAUAGCUGAGCCGGUAGGGAGCCGCGCUCCCGAGCCGCGCGGCGCGAACAGAGCACGCAAACAGGCACGCUCUGUGAGAGAAUGCCGGCGUUUGCGCAGGCAUUCGCGCCGGCGGGCGGGCAGGAAGGGCCAGGAGUGGGACUCCUGUAGGGGUAGGGCAUAGACACCGCACAGGUCUACAAACAGCAGCUUAUAGAAUGAUGUCUAUGAGGAGUGCUGCUAGGGCCUCUGCCCAGGGGGACAAGGCUACCUGGGACAGGUCUGAGGCCUCCACCCAGACUGAGCCCAUGGGGGAGCUGAUGUCCCCCUAUCUCCUGGCCUGUGGGGGAUCCCAAGCAGGGCCGGGGGGGCAGAGAUUGGGGGCCCCCACACCUGUCCGGCAGGUGCCCAUCUUAGGGCUCUGGAGGCGCAGGUGAGGGAGCUCCGGGAGGAGGUUAGCAGGCUGAGGGGGAUCAGGGAGGCGGAGGAUGAAAUUGACAGAUAUUUCCUUUCCCUGCAGGACCAGGCACCCAAGGAAAAAGCUGCCCGGGGAAUGCCCUCCACAGCAGAGUGGCAGACGGUCACAGCCAGGACCGGAGCAGCUCGCAACGAACCGGUACCAGCUUCUCCAGUCCGACUGGUGAACAGAUCAAGAGAUCCACGAGGACCCAGAGGAGGAGGCGACGAGUGCUCAUCAUAGGCGACUCCAUCCUGUGAGGUACGGAAGGACCCAUCUGUCGCCAGGACCCCUCGGCACGAGAGAUAUGCUGCCUCCCUGGAGCAAAGAUUCAGGAUGUGACGGAGUGACCGGACGAGGAAGAUGGCAGGAGAACUGCAUCCGAGAAACCAACUGGCGGCUUCGGCUUUCUGGACAAUGACCCGCACAUCACGACGAGGGACAUGCUCAGCUGGGAUGGGCUUCACCUGUCCCCCAAAGCACACUGAAGAGACAAUAAGCCAUUCCUCUUUGCUUAGUGACCGCAAAGACAGGCUGAACAAGAGUAAAGUGGUGCUGAACCCCUAUAGAACACCACGUCUGUAUCUAUUGUUUGUAUUCUUCAGUCCUUGGUAAUUCUGAGAAUUUGUCUGGAACUUAUUAAUCUUCUCAUUAUGGAAAGCUAAUUGAUGCAGCUAUAAUUGUACCUGAUUACUUGGCUGAAUUAUUUAGGAUAGGAAGAAGGGCCAUAACCAGAGGUAAUGUAUUUAAAUUAAGAAAGGGACCAUUUAGGCUGAGUAUCAGGAAAAACUUCCUGACAAUGAGAUUCAUUACUGUGUCUCCCAAAGGAAGAGGUGGACACUGCAAUGCUUUGGACAUAGAAAAUAAAGUGAAUUAGGAAAUUCACUUUAUUAGGAAAUUCACAUGAUUAGGAAAUGGACCAGAUAAUUUAGUAGGACUUUUCCAUUUCUAACUUCUAGACCUCUGUAGUAUCUGUCAAUCCUGAACAAGUCUUGAUCAGACAGUUCAGAAGCCAAACACUCAUAAGAAUUACUGUUUCUAAAAUGAUAAUAGGUCUGAUGUGGGAAGCACGUGUAUAAACCUGCUUCUGUUUGGAACAGCAUGUGCUAAAUGCUUGACUUUAAAUUCAGUUGGACUUACAGGUAAGCGUGUCUUUAGACAAAUUGGAGGAUUGAGCCAAAAGGAAUCUCAUGAGGUUCAACAAAGACAAGUGCAAAGUCCUGCACUUAGGAUGGAACAAUCCCAUGCACCAGUCCAGGCUGGGGGCUGACUGGCUGGGCAGCAGCUCUUCAGGAAAGGACCUGGGGGUUACAGUGGACAAUAAACUGAAUCUGAGCCAGCAGUGUGUCCUUGUUGCCAAGAAGACUAAUGGCAUAAUAGGCUGCAUUGGUAGGUGUGUUGCCAGUAGGUCAAAGGAAGUGAUUAUUCCCUACUAUUCAGCACUGGUGAGGCCACAUCUGGAGUACUGUGUUCAGUUUUGGGGGCCUCAUUACAGAAAGGAUGUGGACAAAUUGGAGAGAGUCCAGUGGAAGGCAACAAAAAUGGUGAGGGGGCUGGGGCACCUGACUUAUGAGGAAAGGCUGAGGGAACUGGUCUUAUUUAGUCUAGAGAAGAGAAGAUGGAGGGGGGUGGAUUUAAUAGCAGCCUUCAAGUACCUGAAGUGGGGUUCAAAAAAGUUAAACUGUUCUCAGUGGUGGCAGAUGACAGAACAAAGAGUGACAGUCUCAAGUUGCAGCAAGGACGUUUUAGGGUAGGAAGAAUUUUCUCACUAGGAGGGUAGUAAAAGAGUGGAACAGGUUACCCAGAGAGGUGAUAGAAGCUCCAUCCUUGGAGGUUUCCAAAACCUGGCUGGACAAAGCUUUGGCUGAGAUGAUCUAGUUGGGGAUGGUCUUGCUUUGAGCAGGGAUGUUGCAGCGCACUAUGGUGUGCCUGCUCCUUUAAGGGCAGAAGCAGCUUAGCAAAGGAGCCCUGCAGGCUAGGCAGAGCUCCACAGCUGCAGGUUGCCUGAGUAACAGGCUAAUAAGGUAAUCGGCCUGCAUCUGCACGUGUUCAGCUAACUGGAAGGAGGCAGAGCCCAAGGAACAUAUAAGCUCCAGGCUGGGGGUGGCAGGGUCACUUUCUCUCUGGUAACAGCCAGGGGAAGGAGAUCCUGCACAAGGUACUUACCCAAGGCUUUACUACCUCCAAGUACAGUUAGACUCUAGGAGCUCACAAGGUACCCAGGGCUAAGAGGGUGCACUACCCUAAGGGUGGAAGUUUGUCCUCUAAAAGGGGCAGAGUCCUGCCUACAUGGUUGCUGUUAUGUUAUAGCCCAGGGGCUUAUGUUUGCAUUAUUGUUUGUACUGGUGCUUGUGGGGUGAGGCUAUAAGAGGAGGAGGAGGUCUCAUUACUGCCCAGAGGGGGGCACAUGAUUGUGUAGAGCCCCAGAACCAGAGGAGCACAGCUUCAGAGGGCUGGGGAGCCCAGUGCCAGAGGGGUGCAGCAGACAAGAGCUAGGGGCCUGGUGACAAGAGGAGAUUGAGAGCUAGCGCUUCAAAGUUGAGCCUAACACAGUGGAUCUAGGCUAGAAAGCCUAGCUAUUUUAAAAGGGCGGAGGCCAAGUAGGCCAAGGACCCAAUAGAAAGUAUAACAUCUGUGUAACAUCUGUAAGGCGCGGGGCAUGGUAAAGGGGACGUUGGAGCCACACAAUUGGACCAUAAGGCCUGACAUGCCCUGUGCAGCACAGUAUUGAAAAAAGUCCUGGCAACGGAUUCAAAGACCAGUGAGCUUGAGUUGGGUUCGGACAGAGUGGGACCAAGCAUAGGCCUGUGGGAAGCCCCCUGGUUUAUUUUACCAACAAGACGUGGCAGGAAAGACAAGAGGGUGCCCUUGGGGCAGAGCUUGCACAGUCACAGAGACUCCAGGGGCAACAUGGCUACCCCAGGGGACCCCGCUCUGUGACAAGGGGUUUGGAUUAGAUGGCCUCCAGAAGGUUCCUACCAAUCCUAACUUUCUAUGAUUCUACGACUGUCCUGAACAAAGAUGGAGCUUAAAAAGGCUUUUCUAAAUUAGCAUCAUACUUAAUUUCUGUUUGUCUCUAGUCAGGGCAUUUAGGAGUUAGAGGGUGUCUCUGCCUCAAUCCACCAAUGGGUGGAUUCCUUACCCAGCUGAGGUCUCACUGCUCACUGCCCCACCAACAGAGUGGGGCAAGGGACUGGGACCUGCUCCACCUCUGAAGCUCUUUCCAAGCCCCACACCUCAAUCAUCUAUUCAGGGCAUAGGGCUGGGACCUGCCCCUGACCAGUUCAGUUCCCAGCCUCUGCUCCAUGAUUGCAGGGUGGGGGCUGGAGAGCCUGUUCCCCACCCAGUUCCAUGAUCAUGGAACUGGGCAGGGAACCAACUCCCCAGCCCCUGCCGUCACAGAGUUCCUAGCGCCAGCUCCACAGUCAUAGGACUAGUUCUGGGAGAAAAGGAUAUCCCAGCCACCCACUCCCCAAUCAUGAUCUCAGAGUGGGGGGCUUGGAUCUCCCUUUUCGAGGGCAGGGAGACAGUCCCUGCCCAGGCUCUGGUGGCAGAUCCUGCCUCAGCAGAAGGCAGCUCCCAGGGGUAAGGAGCAAUAUCCCACCCCCUGCUAGCUGGCUGACCAGGAGUGAAUUUGCUCCUGGCAUAUACCCAAGCACUACUGUGCAGUAAUUAAUCCUAAAUAAAUUGCAGUUACAGGUAGCAAAUUUACUCAUAAUUAGUGAAGUUUACUGUCCAUUAAGGGUGUGCAUUUGCAUACAUGCAUGCUACUGCGCAGUAAAUUGUAGAUGCACCCAGGGCUGCUGAGACACCUUGUCUAUACAGCAGCAAAACUGGGUCCUGGUAAGGCGUGAGAAUAUCAUGCCCAACUGAGUCUGCUGCCACAGAUGUUUUGAAUGCAGUGGACCCAGAAGUGAACAUACUAGAUUGAAGCAGACUAUUGGUCUUUUGAGGGCAUUGUGAAGAUGUAGCAGAGAAGAUUCUAGUCAAAGGACCUGUAAUUCUUUUUUUUUUUUCUUGAACUAGCUCUUGUAGCUUCACUUAUAAGAAAGCAAAAACUUAACUAGUGACAAUGCAUAGAUACAAGUAACUGUAAUGAUAAGAUUUUUGUAAGAGGGGACUUGAACUCCAAAGGCAAAAUUACACUUCACUAGAACUUAAUAUUUAAAUUAUUUGUGUGUGAAGAAUAUAUGUACAAGUCCUUUCCAAGUAUCUUCUUGCUUUCUUACUCCAAGAGGUUUAAGGAAGAAAUUACCAGAAAACGUGCUUUACUUCCUACCUCUUCGCACUUCUGGGUAAACUUUCCCUGCACGGAUACCCUCCAAUUGCAUUUCUGCAGGAAUUCUGCAUAAAACCAGAAUAUGUGACUUCUCUCUCAAAAUGCUUUAGAGACAAGUUUUUAGAUAAGCAGACCUCAGAAAUUUAAACUCUUUUUCUAUCUUAUUUUGCUUUAUCUGUGGGCAUAGAUCUAGAGUCCAGAUGUAAAGGUUGCUGCAUUUUACUUCAUUGAGAAAGGCAGAAGUCUGAUUUAUUGACAUUCCAGCAGAUUGUACAUUCAGUUUUAUUUUGCCAUAGCCAUAACAAGUAAUUCUUAGUACAUGUGCAAUCCAAGUUAUGAAGGGUGCAUUCACGUCAGAUUACACAUCCAAUUUUAUGAACAUGUAUACAAAAAGCUUUUCCCACUAUUUGUCCAGGUUUAGUGCCUUUAUAAUACAAUUAGUUUUAAAUCAAGACCUUGAAAGACUGUAGAAGCCUCAUUUAUUUCUUUACCACUGAAACAGGUGAAAGUUAAGGGCUUCUAAGGAAAAAGAAGGUCAGCCUUCUCAAAUAAGAAAAUAUUUCUUAUGAAGUUCAAAUUGAAAACGAAACUCUUUAUCCUGUAGGAAGUGAUAGGUGGACAUGGGUAUUUUUCAAAACGGAUUUUUUUUUUUUUUAGGCACAAAUAUUCAUUCAUUCAUUCAAGUGCAGUAAGCCUCCAGUGCAGGUGCUAUGACCUCAAACCAGGAAUAAAAGUCCUUAUGCUUGCUUUGAAUCAACAAGUAGAAGCUGAAGAAAGGACCUUUGCAGUGUGUUCCUGGACCUGGACAGCUCGUUCAAAUACCACAGUAGGGUCUGCCUGCAGCUGUUCCCUGCCCUCCGGCGUGUCCACUUCUCCCCACAAUUUUGUGUCAUCCACAAACUUGGACAGAGUACACUUCACUCCCUCGUCCAAGUCGUUGAUGAAGACAUUGAAGAGUAUCGGUCCAAGGACUGAGCCCUGCGGGACCCCACUGCCCACACCCUUCCAGGUCGAUACCGACCCAUCCACUACGACUCUCUGGGUAUGACCCUCUAGCCAAUUCACCACCCACCGGACUGUGUAGUCAUCCAAGUCACAGCCUCUUAACUUGUUCACCAGUAUGGGGUGGGAUACUGUAUCAAAGGCCUUCCUGAAGUCUAAGUAAACAACGUCAACCCCUACUCCUGCAUCCAGGCAUUUUGUAACCUGGUCAUAAAAAGAGACUAGAUUAGUCAGGCAUGAUCUACCUGCUACGAACCCGUGCUGGUUUCCCCUCAGCAUAAUUUGUCCUGCCGGGCUCUCGCAAAUGUGAGCCUUGAUAAUUUUUUCAAAGACUUUGCCAAGGCUGGAGGUGAGACUGACUGACCUAUAGUUGCCUGGGUCCUUCUUCCUCCCCUUCUUGAAAAUGGGGACCACAUUGGACCUUUUCCAGUCCUCCUAUAUACAUAUAUAAUGUGCAGGCCGGGAGCGGUCUGAGGCCCUCAGGGGCGCGCGGCAGGCUGUGGCCAGCCCUGGCACGCGGGUUGGGGAAUGCAGGCCAGCAGACUAGAAUUAGGCACGGACGUGUAGCAGUUGAUUAAAGAUUAUUUUACUUACACCGUAGAUGGUCGUGGUGCAGGCAGGAAAAACUUGUUUGCGUUGCAGUUACAGACAGACAAGUGGAGUUUGCUAGGCUCCACAACACGAACUCGAACAAGACCCGCAGAAAACUCGAGCCUCUUGAAAUAACUCAGACAGAGCUCUGAAUACACACACUCACGAAGUUUGCUAGGCUCCAUGGAACAAGCGCGCAGGGAAGGGGUUCGUCCAGGGAUUGCGCUCGGCGACAGGGAGAGGCCAGAGGUUGAUCAGACCCCUAUAGCCUUCUUAAGGCACACGCUGGGUCCGAUAGACUCCACAGCGCUUAGAGUUCUUCACGAGCCGUGAAGUCCUCCUUCUCCACUAGAUGGUUGUGGAGUCCUCCAACUUGGGCGGAAACCGCUCAAGCCUCUUAUACGGCUAGCAAGCCAAUCGCUAGCCGCCACGUGGGAAUAAUUUAGAACUAGCCAAUAGUGGGACACAAAUUUGCAUGCGGGUGGCGGGAACUCCUUUGCACCGGGGUUUUCUCUUUGCAACUGAGAAAUGCACCUUGCAAAGAAAGCUCCUCGUGGCAGGAAAUAAUUUAGCAGUGCCGAAGCACACACACAGUAAAUCACACCCUUGGGUUGUGACAUAUAACAUAUAUAUGUAUAUGUUAAUAUACAGUUUUCAGGGUCUGUGUUUUUAUUUUCUGUUUGUAGUGGGACAGGUUUUGCCCUUGACAUUUUAAACAGAUUAAAUUCUUCCUGUCCCUUUUGUACAGAAUAAUGUACACCCCCCCCCACACACACACACACACUUGUGUGCACUUUGUUCUGUA